rnacentral:rRNA from 1 species
UACGGAGGGGGCUAGCGUUAUUCGGAAUUACUGGGCGUAAAGCGCACGUAGGCGGCUUUGUAAGUCAGAGGUGAAAGCCUGGAGCUCAACUCCAGAACUGCCUUUGAGACUGCAUCGCUUGAAUCCAGGAGAGGUGAGUGGAAUUCCGAGUGUAGAGGUGAAAUUCGUAGAUAUUCGCAAGAACACCAGUGGCGAAGGCGGCUCACUGGCCCGAGUACUGACGCUGAGGCACGAAAGCGUGGGGAGCAAAC